CCUGGGGUGUGCAGCCACAUCCCCACUCUGUUUAGCACCAUCCAAGGAACUGGUAAUGGAAAAGGAAUGAAUGGAAUCGGUGUCUUCUGGCAGAAUUAAUCCCAUGAGGAUUUGCAGUCUGCAGGCAAGGUCUGGCUGGCCGGUGCAGAAGGUGAAUGUGAGCACCCAGGGCACGCACAGAGCUCGGCUCACCCCAGCGGCCAGAAGGCAGCGAGAGGAACUCUCCUUAACAGCUGUGAGAUCUGAGCUUUACCAGUUAAAAAUGCUUGCAAGCAGGGAAAGAAAAAAAAAGAAAAAAGAAAAAGCUGGCCUUGGGAAUUUGAAACAGGAAUCAACUAUAAAUUGAUGUGCCCUACCAGCAAGGAGACAAGAAGCCCAGCUCUGGAACAAACUAAGGGACAUCCCAACAGAGAGCUGCCGCCUCUUAACCUUUUCUAGUAUUAAAAACAUUUUUUAGAAU